rnacentral:lncRNA from 1 species
CCCCCCCCCCUGGAUCCGCCUAUGACAUUGUACGUUCAUAUGUGUUCCUCUAGCAUGCCCAAAUUAUUGGUUAUUUACUUUUAAGAUCAGGUCUUCGUAUGAAAAUUCACUAUGUAUCAAAUCAUACCAAACAAACGAUGUCUUUGUAGUUCUUAAAUUAUUUCUCAAUAUUGAUCGUUGCUAUGGCAAUCAAGCAGUCACUUUUAAGCAAUCGAAAUAAUAUACAAUCUAAAGAGUGAAUAGAUAGAUAUAUUGAAUCGUUCCGUAUUUUGAUAGAUGUUCUCGUCGGUUCUCGCGAGAUUACAACUGAAGAAUUAUCUUUCAUUAAGAGCUAUUUGACAGUAAUUGCUGUUGACACGUGCCGGUUUUGUAGCGCCCUCCGGAAUAGCAUUUACAGUUACAAUAAUCUUCCAAUAAUUUACAAAUUUGAUUAAAUUUGAUUUAUGACCGGUUGAUUAUUCUGUACAUUGCAAGUUUUAUGAUUCUUGCUUUCUUUGUGGUUUUAAUCGAAACCCACGAGAAUAACAGUUGUUUGUGGUGUUUAGCUAUUUCUAAUUUCCAAAGAUAUCACUCUCCUUAUGAAUGUAGUUUUUCAUUUAAUAUCAAACUUGUUAGAUAAAUUUACAAUGCUUAAACUGAAUUUUUUUAUUCAUUUAAAUUGUAAAAUUGCACAAACAGUAUACAUGUCUCAAAAGGCCUAUUUAUAAGCCGAGGUUCGUUAUCUUGGAACGACAUAUUCAAUCGUUUAAACUCGG